UCAUGAUUCAUCAAAAUGUAAAAGAAAACACGAUUAUUCUAUGGAAACAACACAUCACUGGAUGCCUCUCACCAUGCAAUCCUCUGUGCACUUGAGAAGAAGACAAGACUUUCCUAUUUUUAGAUGGGAAAGCUGAGGCAAAACGGAUGCACUUGGGCAAAAUCAUUUGAUAAAAAUGGAAGCAGAACCUCCAAGUCCUGGCAUCGCCAUUUGUCACCAGACUGA
rnacentral:lncRNA from 1 species